rnacentral:rRNA from 2 species
CCGUUGCAAGGGACUCCGAAGAGCUGUGGCAAGGGGUGAAAAGCCAAUCUAACCUGGAGAUAGCUGGUCUUCUGCGAAACCCGUUUUAGCGGGUCGCCCAUUUAUUGAAAUUAAAUUCGUUACUAGACGGUACGGCACUGGAAGCCACGCAGCUUUUGCUGCAUAAUCGGGGGGCUGUCAUGGCUCUAUCGAUGGCUUCUAACCCCGGAAAUGUAUAGUAUACAAUGAUGGGCAAUCAGACGUAUCGUGAUAAGGCGAUUCGUCAAAAGGGCAACAGCCCAGAACAGGUGUGAAGGUCCCUAACAAGCUACUGAGUGAACACAAGGCAGUCCUCUCCAGUGUCUCUCCACAAAGUGGGCUUGGAAGCAGCCACCUUUUAGCGAUAGCGUAACAGCUCAGUGGUCUGAGCCUCCCUGUAAAAAGGGUAUAUUGCCUGGUGAGGGCGCCAAAAAUGUAACGGGUCUAUAGUAGUUGUCUCUCUGUUCCAGCUUUGGAUAUGGAGGGAGUGGCAGUUUCUUUACUGUCUCACCGAAACCCUGUCCUAGAUGUAAAAUUCUAGGGGUAGCAGAAUACCCAGCAAAUGGAAUGAAGCUUGCUCAUUGAGCCGGUGGACAUAGCUGGGCUAAGAAUGCUGACAUGAGUAGCCUAAAAGGAGGGUAAUUCCCUCUUCGCCGAAAGCAGAAGGGUUUCAUUUGUAAGGUCUAUACCUAGAUGAUUAAAGCAGCGGCCUCUAAGGUUCAGAGUAACAAAUUAGUUCCGAUGAGUAACUCUUCUAUAGGGCAGUAACCUUCCUUAUAAGUUUACCUUCAAGUAAUUAGAGGUAUACUUCAAAGAGUAAGGUUCGGGAAAGAGCCCUACAGAAUCAAUCUUAAAACCGUACCCUAAACCGACACAGGUCUGCAAGUAGAGCAUACUAAGGCGUAGAGAUAAUCGUCUUGAAGGAACUCGGCAAAAUGACCCCGUAACUUCGGGAGAAGGGGUGCCACUAAUAAGUGGCGGCACUAAACAGGGGGGCGCGACUGUUUACUUAAAACACCGGACUCUGCUAACACUAGCGUGGAUGUAUAGAGU